rnacentral:rRNA from 1 species
CCUUCGGGGGGCUGCAGUGGGGAAUAUUGGACAAUGGGGGCAACCCUGAUCCAGCCAUGCCGCGUGUGUGAAGAAGGCCCUCGGGUUGUAAAGCACUUUCAGUGAGGAAGAACGCCUGGUGGUUAAUACCCAUCAGGAAAGACAUCACUCACAGAAGAAGCACCGGCUAACUCCGUGCCAGCAGCCGCGGUAAUACGGAGGGUGCGAGCGUUAAUCGGAAUUACUGGGCGUAAAGCGCGCGUAGGUGGCUUGAUAAGCCGGUUGUGAAAGCCCCGGGCUCAACCUGGGAACGGCAUCCGGAACUGUCAAGCUAGAGUGCAGGAGAGGAAGGUAGAAUUCCCGGUGUAGCGGUGAAAUGCGUAGAGAUCGGGAGGAAUACCAGUGGCGAAGGCGGCCUUCUGGACUGACACUGACACUGAGGUGCGAAAGCGUGGGUAGCAAACAGGAUUAGAUACCCGUGUAGUC